CCGGGAUGCCCCAGUAACGGCGAGUGAAGCGGCAAAAGCUCAAAUUUGGAAUCCUGCGGGAGUUGUAAUUUGAAGGCUGUAAGGUGGUGGCUCGGCCCUGUGCAAGUCCAUUGGAACAUGGCGCCAAGGAGGGUGACAGCCCCGUGGCACUAGGUCAACCACCAUAUACUUUACGGCCAAAGAGUCGAGUUGUUUGGGAAUGCAGCUCUAAGUGGGUGGUAAAUUCCAUCUAAAGCUAAAUAUUGGCGAGAGACCGAUAGCGAACAAGUACAGUGAUGGAAAGAUGAAAAGCACUUUGAAAAGAGAGUGAAACAGUACGUGAAAUUGUUGGAAGGGAAGGGCUUGCAAGCAGACACAACCCCCCGGGUUGGGCCAGCAUCGGGGCGGAGGAGAGCAAAACAGGCGGUGAAUGUGGCGCCAGUCCUUUGGGCUGGCGUGUUUAUAGCGCCGCCAAAUACUCUCAUUCUGCCCCGAGGCCAGCGCAUUUC
rnacentral:rRNA from 1 species